rnacentral:rRNA from 1 species
AACGAACGCUGGCGGCGCGUUUUAAGCAUGCAAGUCGGACGGUAGAGGGGAGCAAUCCCCUUGAGAGUGGCGAACGGGUGAGUAACACGUAGAUGAUCUACCCUGGUUUUGGGGAUAGCUCGUGGAAACACGGGGUAAUACCGAAUACGCUCAUAGGGCUGUAGCCUUGUGAGGAAAGGCGCGGUUGCGCCGAGCCGGGAUGAGUCUGCGGUCCAUUAGCUAGUUGGCGGGGUAAGAGCCCACCAAGGCGACGAUGGAUAGCCGGCCUGAGAGGGUGAACGGCCACACUGGGACUGAGAUACGGCCCAGACUCCUACGGGAGGCAG